AAGUUUGGACAAUGGGUGCAAGCCUGAUCCAGCCAUGCCGCGUGAGUGAAGAAGGCCUUCCGGGUGUAACGCUCUUUCGGACGGAAAGAAAUCGCGCAGGCUUAUACCGUGCGCGGAUGACGGUGCACGCCUAAGAAGCACCGGCGACCUACGUGCCAGCAGCCGCGGUAAUACGUAGGGUGCGAGCGUUAAUCGGAAUUACUGGGCGUAAAGCGUGCGCAGGCGGUUUAUUAAGACAGGCGUGAAAUCCCCGGGCUUAACCUGGGAACUGCGCUUGUGACUGGUCAGCUAGAGUACGGCAGAGGGGGGUGGAAUUCCGCGUGUAGCAGUGAAAUGCGUAGAGAUGUGGAGGAACACCGAUGGCGAAGGCAGCCCCCUGGGCCGAUACUGACGCUCAUGCACGAAAGCGUGGGUAGCAAACAGG
rnacentral:rRNA from 1 species